AUUGAACGCUGGCGGCAGGCUUAACACAUGCAAGUCGAGCGAGCGGCGGACGGGUGAGUAAUGUCUGGGAAACUGCCUGAUGGAGGGGGAUAACUACUGGAAACGGUAGCUAAUACCGCAUACCAUCAGAUGUGCCCAGAUGGGAUUAGCUAGUAGGUGGGGUAAGGGCUCACCUAGGCGACGAUCCCUAGCUGGUCUGAGAGGAGGACAAUCCAAACUGGAAUGGCAACACGUUCCAGACUCCUACGGUAGGCAGCAGUGGGGAAUAUUGUACAAUGGGCUCAAGCCUGAUGCAGCCAUGCCGCGUUUGUGAAGAAGGCCUUCGGGUUGUAAACCACUUUCAGCGAGGAGGCGUUACUCGCAGAAGAAGCACCGGCUAACUCCGUGCCAGCAGCCGCGGUAAUUC
rnacentral:rRNA from 1 species